rnacentral:rRNA from 1 species
CCCUUAGAUGUUCUGGGCCGCACGCGCGCUACACUGACGGAUUCAACAAGCCCACCCUUGGCCGAAAGGUCCGGGUAAUCUUCGAAACUCCGUCGUGAUGGGGCUAGAUUAUUGCAAUUAUUAAUCUUCAACGAGGAAUUCCUAGUAAGCGCAAGUCAUCAGCUUGCGUUGAUUACGUCCCUGCCCUUUGUACACACCGCCCGUCGCUCCUACCGAUUGAAUGUUCCGGUGAAUACUUCGGACUGCGAGGUCUGCAGUUUCUGCGUUCCUUGCGGAAAGUUGAAUAAACCUUAACAUUUAGAGGAAGGAGAANUCGUAACA